rnacentral:rRNA from 1 species
UACAGAGGCCUCAAGCGUUGUUCGGAUUCAUUGGGCGUAAAGGGUGCGCAGGCGGUCGGGUAAGUCGGAUGUGAAAUCCUGGGGCUCAACCUCAGAACUGCAUUCGAUACUGCCUGGCUGGAGGAUUGGAGAGGAGAGUGGAAUUCACGGUGUAGCAGUGAAAUGCGUAGAGAUCGUGAGGAAGACCAACGGCGAAGGCAGCUCACUGGACAAUUCCUGACGCUGAGGCACGAAGGCCAGGGGAGCAAACGGG